CGACCGGCGCACGGGUGCGUAACGCGUAUGCAAUCUACCCACCGCAGAGGGAUAGCCCGUGGAAACAUGGAUUAAUACCUCAUAAUACAGGGGGCCCACCUGGGCAUAUUGUUAAAGUUUUCGAACGGCAGUGGAUGAGCAUGCGUCCCAUUAGCUAGUUGGUACGGUAACGGCGUACCAAGGCGAUGAUGGGUAGGGGUUCUGAGAGGAUGAUCCCCCACACUGGUACUGAGAUACGGACCAGACUCCUACGGGAGGCAGCAGUAGGGAAUAUUGGUCAAUGGACGGAAGUCUGAACCAGCCAUGCCGCGUGCAGGAAGACGGCCUUCUGGGUUGUAAACUGCUUUUAACAGGGAAGAAUUAGCUCUUGCGAGAGUGAAUGACGGUACCUGAAGAAUAAGCACCGGCUAACUCCGUGCCAGCAGCCGCGGUAAUACGGAGGGUGCGAGCGUUGUCCGGAUUUAUUGGGUUUAAAGGGUGCGUAGGCGGCCUGUUAAGUCAGUGGUGAAAGGUAUCAGGCUCACUGAUGACGUGCCAUUGAAACUGGCGGGCUUGAGUACAGAC
rnacentral:rRNA from 1 species